rnacentral:rRNA from 1 species
CGCCCAACAGCUAGCCCGCACAAGCAAUAGCAAUAGACCACUAUACAUAACCCCAAAUACACAGAAUUUAAGUAAACAAACCAUUUUUUUCCCUUAGUAUGGGCGACAGAAAAGGGACCCGAGGAGCCAUAGAGAAAGUACCGCAAGGGAACGCUGAAAGAGAAAUGAAACAACCCAGUGAAGCCUAAAAAAGCAGAGACUCACACUCGUACCUUUUGCAUCAUGAUUUAGCAAGUGUAAUUCAAGCAAAGCGUACUUUAGUUUGAUAACCCGAAACUACGUGAGCUACUCCGUGACAGCCUAUACAAAAGGGCAAACCCGUCUCUGUGGCAAAAGAGUGGGACGAUCACUGAGUAGAGGUGAAAAACCUACCGAACCUAGUUAUAGCUGGUUGCCCGAGAAAUGGAUAGAAGUUCAGCCUUGCCGCUUCUUUCUUCCCUUCAGUAACUUCUCCCACUGAUAUCCAAGAAUACUGCAAGAGUUAGUCAAAGGGGGUACAGCCCCUUUGAAACAAGACACAACUUUACCAGGAGGGUAAAGAUCAUA